AUACGGAGGGGGCUAGCGUUGUUCGGAAUUACUGGGCGUAAAGCGCGUGUAGGCGGAUUGAUCAGUCAGGGGUGAAAUCCCGAGGCUUAACCUCGGAACUGCCUUUGAUACUGUCAAUCUUGAGUUCGAGAGAGGUGAGUGGAAUUCCUAGUGUAGAGGUGAAAUUCGUAGAUAUUAGGAAGAACACCAGUGGCGAAGGCGGCUCACUGGCUCGAUACUGACGCUGAGGUGCGAAAGCGUGGGGAGCAAACAGGAUUAGAUACCCUAGUAGUCC
rnacentral:rRNA from 1 species